GCGUUCACACAAGAAGCACAACUUUAAACCUGAGCUCCGCGUUUUUAGACGCGCGUCUGUGGCGCUUGUUUACAUAGAAAACACGGGGAAAGCAGCUCAAAUUAACGCAAAAAAGAGGCCUGUGUGAACGUCCUCUUUACUGUUGUGUUGCUUGAACUCAUAUAUUAACAUCCGAUUUCAACAAAUAUACAUAAAGGAUGUUCAUAUUAUAGCACGACCAUAAACAUUCAGAGAACUAAAAAAAAAAACAACAUAGAACUGACGCAUUAUGACGCCAUAGUAGAGUGGAAUCUGUUGAGAGCAGUUCAUCUCUGAGUGAAGUUGUUCAGAUCAUUUUAACUGUUCGUGAUCGCAAUGAAAAGCCGAAAAAGCAAGAAGCCGACAAGGCCAAGCAUUACUCCAACUUUUGAGAGCCCUUCCCAGACCCAGUUACUUCAGUUUAUACCUUCCUCGCCUGGUCCAUCUUCUAACACGAGGCCUCCAUCCAGGCGCAUGAAGGGAAGACAGAGAAAUGUUGUAUUGCCUGACAUUGGAAAUGCAGUGAAUUCUGUGGCCAGAAGAAACGGCACCGGAGACCCUUUACCAUCCGUCCCGGGCAUUCCAGCAGUGCUAAAAGGCGACCACAAUGGGAAGACCAUGUGCAGUGAUGCUGCAACCUUUCUCUCUGCCGCUGACAGGGCAAGACUUUUUGGCAUCAACAAGUGGUAUUAGACUCCAGGGAGGAGAUGAAAUCAUCAGAAAAAGAAGAAAUCUGUUCAAAAUAAAAAAAUAAUUGUGCAUUAAAAAACAGUUGUUUCAGCUUCACUGUCAUAACUAUAGUCUAUGGAAACUUGUUUCCCCCAUGGAGUAAAAAAUAUAAAAGGUAAUCAGGACUUUUUAAUUUCACAAUUCAUACUCUUUUCAUGCAGUUCUGAGGGAAAAAAAAGGCCAGAAUUAUAAAAUAUAAAGUCAGGACUUUGAGAUAUAAACUUGCAUUUCUACUUCUUCUGAGAAGUCUGAACUCCAAGAUAUAACUCAGAAUUCUGACUUUUUUGCUUGAAAUUUUGAGUUUAUAACUUGAAAUUUGGCCCUUUUUCUUGCAAUUCUGUUUUUAUUUCCA